rfam:Gloeophyllum trabeum ATCC 11539 unplaced genomic scaffold GLOTRscaffold_00002, whole genome shotgun sequence.
GGCUACCUGGCGCAAUGGUAGCGCGUUUGGCUUCGAUUGCCUAGCGUACCAAAAGGUUGCAGGUUCGAGUCCUGCGGUGGUCA